rnacentral:rRNA from 1 species
CCCUUAGAUGUUCUGGGCCGCACGCGCGCUACACUGAUGCAUUCAACGAGUCUAAAACCUGCUCUGAUAGGGGUGGGUAAUCUUUUGAAUGUGCAUCGUGAUUGGGAUAGAUGAUUGCAAUUUUUCAUCUUCAACGAGGAAUGCCUAGUAAACGCAAGUCAUCAGCUUGCAUUGAUUACGUCCCUGCCCUUUGUACACACCGCCCAUCGCUCCUACCGAUUGAAUGAUCCGAUGAAUAUCAUGGAUUGAGGAUGCAAGUAGGUUAGCCUAUCUUCAUCUUCGAGAAGUGAAGUAAAUCUUAUCAUUUAGAGGAAGGAGAAGUCGUAACA